AGAGCUCCUUGGCACUGGAUGCCUCCGGGUCUGGUUGAGAGAGGAAUGGUUAGGAGACUGUUCUGAGGAUACGCAGACAUCAUCCAAAGCUUCCUACAUUCAGAUGAGGACAGAGGUUGGGCCAGAGCUUUGUAUGCUUGUUACCUAAGGAUGGUUCUGACCAUGUAAGCAGAUCACAGAAGAGCCAGCCAAGAACAUAAGCAGAUGUGCUGAUGGCAACCUAGAACAUAAGCAGAGGAGAAUACAGGACGGGAACUUGAUGGUCUCGGGAAAAUGGACAACAUGACUCAGGUGAAAAAGAUUGAUCAUCAGAUGUUUCUUAUGUAUCAACCUGACAUUUAAAUCUAUGAAGGAGAGAGAUAACAAAGGCAGGUGGAAUAGACAGAGAAAAGGUUCAAGGUCUGAGCUCUACAUUACUCAAACUGUUAGAGAUUGGGAAGAAGAGGAAGACCUGGCAAAAGAAUGUCCUGGGAUGUAGAAAGAAAACCAGAAGCUUGUGGUCUCUGGAAACCAAAUGAAGAAAGGGACAGAAGGACAGACGAAGUGUAGUGUGUCAAAGGCUCCUGAGCAAUCAGAGGAGAGCACAAAGGGGCUCACAGGACUUUGGUAUCUGGAUCACCCAGUGACACUUCCUGAUCAUGAGAAACUGUCAGACCAACAGGGGCACUUCUGAAACCAGCAGUUCUUCAGUGCCCAAAUGCAACCUUGAUGGUUUGAUUUUGGAGGAUGGCAAUUCAUUAACAGCACUCCCCAGUGAUAAAUAUGAAAACCAAUAAAACCCCCCACCCAAGGCAACCUCUCCCAGCUCCUCGCUUUGAGUAAAGAGAAACCCGGAGAAGCAGUCCUAGGGCAGCCUCUGGGCCAGCUUUCCCUAAUAAGGCAGAGCUCCUCUUCACCCAGACUUCAGACCUAUAGAGGCAGCCUGGGGUCCCGGGAUGCCCUUGCACUCAGAGAUGUCCCCAGAGUCCUAGGGAAAUGGAGGAUAACUAGGAGGAAGCUGUUCGUGGCCGGCGAGGGGGUCUAUACAUUCUUGUCCAUCUCAGUGCUGUCUGCUAUUGAAUUUUUGUGCAGAUCAAAUUAAUUUAAAGCCAGUUCUCAAGAAGCCACACCCCGCCCGCCCCCGCCACCGGCAUAGCCACCAGUUGCUCCCCUUUCCUGCCAUUAAUCAGUGUCUGCUAAUUAGAGAACAAAUUCCUAUUUGUCCAAACAG